CCUACGGGUGGCAGCAGUGAGGAAUAUUGGUCAAUGGCCGGAAGGCUGAACCAGCCAUGCCGCGUGAAGGGCAGGGGCCUAGGGGCGUUAAACUUCUUUUGUGCGGGAGCAAGAAUGGUCACGUGUGGCCAGACGAGAGUACCGUACGAAUAAGCAUCGGCUAACUCCGUGCCAGCAGCCGCGGUAAGACGGGGGAUGCAAGCGUUAUCCGGAUUUAUUGGGGGUAAAGGGUGCGUAGGCUGUGAGGUAAGUCAGCGGUGAAAUGCCCCCGCUCAACGGGGUGAAGUGCCAUUGAUACUGCCUUGCUGGACUGCGGAUGCCGUGGGCGGAAUGUGUGGUGUAGCGGU
rnacentral:rRNA from 1 species